ACAGGAUGCCCACCAGUGAUGAUGCCUCAGCUGUUGACGGCAGCAGACUCCUGGACUGCAGGCUCCUUGAGGGCUCCAUCCCCAGCGUCUGAAACCCGGCCUGGAGUGAACUUGGUGCGCAGUAAAAGCUUGCCCUUAAAGAUGGUGAAGGUGAACAGAGAAGCACAUAUUGAAAUCCACCAGUCAUCGAGCAGUAUGAGCAAUCCACGAGCAAAUCUUCCUCCCCAGGAGCUUUGCUUGCUUUGAACUUUUUAAUCAACCAGGCAAUCUCAGGAAGGAUUCCCAGGCCCCAAGAGCAGGCUGGGGGUGUUGAGGACAUGGGCUUUCUUUUGCAAAAUGGGAAAGGCUUUCCUUUGCAAAGUGCCUCUCAGGCACUAAGCAGGUGCUGAGCUUCCACAAUCUCAUUCACCAACUCCACACUGUGGGUCCCUCUGGGGUUGGGGCAGGGAUUAAAUAAGAUACUGCAAGUAGAGUGCCUGGCAUCUACAUUAUCAUCACCAUCAUCUUCAUUAUUGUUGCCAUCUCUGACCCUGAACAUUCACUGUCAGACCAAAGAGGCAAGCCCUGAUCCUCCUACACAGACCACAUCUGCCCCAGAAAGAGUUCACCUAGAAUAGCAGCUGUCAUCCCAGGGCAGUGUUAGCCCCCAAGGCACAUCUGGCAAUGUCUGGAGGCACUUUUGGUUGUCACAACUGGAGGGAGGGUGCCACUGGCAUGUAAUGGGUAGAGGCCAGGGACACUUAAUCAUAAAUGCAAGGCUAGCCCUUCACAAGAAAGAAUUAAUCAGUCCCAAAUGUCAACAGAAACCCUGGUUUAGAAGGCGCAGAGUAUGUAAGAAAUGUGCCCUCAGCCCCCAAGGGUGUUGUCAGGGCAGUGUGGUGGGGGACCCCAGCAGGCCUAAGCAUGAAUCCUAGACCCCCUUACCAUGGCUGUAUAUCCUGGACAAGUGAAAUUUCACCUCUGAGCCUCAAUUGCUCGACUAUAAAAUGGGGCCAAUGACACCCACCUCUUCAGGGUGCAAGAAGAUUAAAUGAAGUCAUAUGUAUAAGGGAUUUAACUCAGUUCUUUGCAGUCAGAACUCAAGCAAUGGGAAAUGUACUGGGUUGAAUAGCAUCUCCCCAAAACUCACAUCCACCUGGAAUCUCAGAAUGUGACUUCAUUUGGAAAUAGGGUCUUUGGCAGAUGUAAUUAGUUAAGCUAAAAUGAGGUCAUACCGGAUUAGGGUGGGCCCCAAAUUCAAAAACUCAUGUCUUUAUAAGAGAAAGGAGGAGAUUCAGACACAGAGACGCACACACAGGGAGCGCACCACGUGACCACAGAGGUGGAGAUCGGAGUGAUAAGGCCACAAGCCGAGAAACACCAAGGGCUGCCAGCAACUCCCAGAAACCGGGGGAAAGGCAUGGAACCGAUUCUGUCUUGGAGCCUUAGAAGCAACCAACACUGCUGUCCCUUUUAUUUUGGACUUCUGGUCGCCAGGAAUGGAGAGUAAUUUCUGUUGUCUUAAGCCACCCAGUUUGUGGUACUUUUCAUGGCAGUCCUAACAAACUAGGAUGAGGGCUGUGGCCAUAUGGUGACUGUCAUUACAGUGAUCUGUGGCAUACCCAGUGGGCAUCUCUAGAGCACACAGAGGUCUCCGUACCCUGAGAGUACUGGCAGGUGUUUGCCCUCCCACUUGCCGCACAGAACCCUAACACCCAUGGUGUACCUGCACCUCAGGACUUUCUCCACGGAUGUUGGAGAAUGUCUACAUCUCCAGGCACCCGGUUGAUGUUUACCUACAUUCUCUGGAGCUCACGGGGGACCCCUAGGGCCUAUGCGAUUUGCCUAUGAUAAGCCAUCUGCACUACCUGUAUCUGCCACCCCUACACGUGUCCAGGGUGCCAGCAGCACAGAGAGCAUACCCACAGCACUGCCAGUGUACUGACAGCAGCUCCCCAAGUGUGUCUAAGGAAAGGUGAGCCUCCUGGAGGACUCACACAGCACACAGCAAGCCUGCACACACUGUAGAUAUCAAGAGAACACCGGGGGUGACCCCAUGGAAGGUACCAGUGACCCACAAACCUCAUCCUUGGGAAGCAGAUGGUGUUUAGAGGACGGAGUGAACCUGUGGAGUGCAGGUUGUGUCUACAGCACACGGUGGCUGUCUGCAGCCCCGGAUCGCACCCAUGGCCCUGAGAGGAUGUCCGCUCCACAGAAAUGGCUCUCCGGAACUCCAAGUAGCUAUGGCACAUGGAAAGCAGAGAAGGAGGAAAAUCCAUUUGGGGCCAAGAGCUCUGUCUGAACUUUGUCCUUUUCUCAAGCAAAAGAAAAUAUUAUUUCACCCUCUAAAGAGCCACACAUAAUAACAGGCGAAAUGUCAAGACCAAUGUUGAUAUAAACCCCCAAGGAAAACAAACAUCUCCGUACCUUCUCCGCCGCCUCCCCACCUCACCCUGCUCGGCUAGUUUAAACAGAUCCAGCGGUGGGCAGAGGGGAGGCGGGGAAGCGGGAAAGCCUGCCUGGCUCCCAGAGCUGUGAGAGAGGCCGCUCCGAGUUCAGGAUGCUCCGAGUCCACCUACACUGGGAAUGCGUAGGUAAGCCUGGCCCGGGAAGGACACACAGAGUAGACCCAUGGUUAAGAGAUCGGCUCAAUGCAAAUCCCAGCAUCACUCACUGGCUGUGUGACCUUGGGCAAAAAGCCUGAGCUCUCGGAACCUGAGUGUCCUCAUCAGCAAUUAUCCUCUGGCCAGCCAGAUCUCCCUGGGGGUGGGGAAAGGCCAGGGUGUGGGCCAUGCAGGGAGGCACUGAGGCUGCGUGACUGCAUGAAUGAGCAAUUCCUGAGCACCCACGAGGUGCCCCCUAUGGGUCCAGCUACUCCAUAGAAUCUACCUCAUUGAAGCCACACAGCUCUGCAGGUGUAAAUUAUCAUUCUUAAUUUGCAAGAGGAGAAACAGGUUCAGAGAAGUGAAGAAACUUAUUCAAGACCACACAGCUGGGAAGAAGGGCAGACGGGCUGAUUUUUUUUUUUUUUUUUCUGAGACAGGGUCUCGCUGUAUGGCUGAGGCUAGAGUGCAGUGGUGCAAUCAUAGCUCACUGCAGACUUGAACUCCAGGGCUCAAGUGAUCUUCCUGCCUCAGCCUCCAGAGUAGAGAUUUAAAGCCAGUCCUGUCUGGCUCCAAAAGCCUCAGGCAAGGUUGACCUCAAUUCAUCCAGGACACUGGAAGCCGGGUUCUAGUUUCAGAGUUCACAGAACUCUGCUCCCCAGGAUGUGUGUUGGAAAGGAGUGUGUUGAGUGAUACUGCCCAGGAGACCCCAAGUUUGGCUCUGGCUUGAAGCCUCAACUGACCAGCCCUUGGCUAUUGGUCUUUCCAGCCCCACCCAAGGGGCCCUUCAAACUUUCAGUUCAGUUGUUUUUUUUUUUUUUUUGAGAUGGAGCCUCACUCUGUCAUCCAGGCGGGAGUGCAGUGGUGCGAUCUCAGCUCACUACAACCUCU
rnacentral:lncRNA from 10 species